rnacentral:misc_RNA from 1 species
AGCGCGUUGAACAAAACGCUUUCGGUCUCGUCAGGAGUCUCGAACAUAUGUCUCAAGGGCGACUGAUAUUCCUCUGGCUUGAUGAAACUUUAUUCGGGGAGGUGUGGUAGACCUGUAUAUGGAUAUUCAAAGAAGGCAAACCGUUGUUCGUAAACAAGAGACAAUUGACUGGGAGGACAACAUCAGCUCGUAAGAAGAUUCAAUCGUAUAGUCGCCUACAAUUGCCUGAAGGGCUGGAUCGUUCACCAACUCUUCCAUCCUUGCAGCAAGUCGUGGCUCUUCUUUGCGUAUUUCUUCUGUCCAGGUCUUAGACAACCUCGCUUUCAAUCCUUGAAGAACGGCCGAGGAGAGCGCGGCUGAGACUGGCGUCGAGAUGCUCGUCGUGUCACUUUGUUCUUCCAGGUUCAAUCCAGCCGGUGGCAUCUUCCCUGAUAUCGAGCUUCAUUUUUAUGCUAAUGGACCAACAGAUGAGUUCUUAACAUCCUCGCCAACGUUCUUCGGCAUAUCCUCUUCUACCGUUACCAGCCCUGAACUGCUGUACUGCUCCUUUGCUAGGUCGUGGGAAGCAUGGUAAAGGUGCGAUUCAGUCAGUGGUCGUGCCAGCGACGGAAAAAGUACCGAGCUCGAAUUCUACAAUAGUAGAUUCAUUUCUUGAUAGAGAGAGCAUCGGGCCCAGUAUCCAUCCAGUGCAUUUGAGCCCUGAGGAAAAACGCACGAAUAUAGAGUAUAAAGACCAAAUCUAUGAAACCCCGCCGAGCAAAUGAGGAGGCGGACACACUUUCAGACGAAAAAAAAGAAUGAUCCCCCUUCUCUCAAACGCGGACGAGGGCGGACGGGAAGUAUACAUCCUCAGAGCGCAAAGAUCCGUCUGAGACAAUUUUCACGAUCCUUUACUAUAACACGUCAACGGGAAGAAUCCUCCAUUAAGUGAGUUGCCGGAAGCCAAGCAGGAUCGCCUGGCUCCUUACUCGAUGGAGGUUCAGCUUGCUUCCCUCGCUAUGGGACAUCUCAUCGAGUACCUGGGUGUAUCAGUUCCGGGCUCACGACUAACAGCUGUCCUCGUUCGUUUGGUAUAUUCUGUCUAAACUUCCUGCGACAUCUGAUGCUAGGGCCAGGAGAAACAACGCAGCCGAAACGAAGGAUCAGCGGGUUGCAGGGAAGCUUCCUGGAACACUUUGACGGAUGACCGUGCCGCGUCACCAUCACGACCUCAACAGCGCAGGAGCCAGGAAUAUCAGACCUGCCUCAAAAAUCGUAUCGGGAUCACUCCCGUGCGUUACAUGUGAUAUACCCUGUAGAGGUUGUAACCGUAUUUCGCUCACCUUAGAGGCACAGAAAAAGGCGGACUCAGGGAAGGAAUCUUAGAGGUUUCGAUGGAUGUACGUGAUGAUCAGAUGGUGCCGGAAUAGAUCGAAAUGAUAACGACUUGUAAUAAGGCGCCUGAUUGAGAGCAAGGGUCGCCUCAGAUCGUACAAACCCGUCGUGUUGUUUCAGGCCUCGGCCCGAAGGACCCCGUUCCCAUAGUAUGGAUGAAACCUGAUGUCAGAAGUCCAUGCAUAUUGCGCUACAAUUUUUCCUAAAUAGAGCGCUCCAGGGCGAAAGAUUCCAUUCCAGAAUGCGGGCGCCCUCGCCGUUCAAGCUUGUACUCGGUAUGGUCCGCAUUCGUCAUAUCUAUGCCGACUAUAUCGCUGUAGACGUUUGGCUUCCGUACUGUAUGGCUUCCUGGCCGCAACAGUUUGUCUCUGCGAGCGCGCUCGAAGCUUUCGAACAACUUCGCGAAGAGCAUCAACAGAUAUCGUAUAAGACUUCUCGUUGACAUGGGGAAAUGGAAAUUAGUUACAGGGACGACAGAGGUCGACUGAACACAAAGCUACAUGCAUUUUAGGAAACUUAGACGUGGGUCGCGCAGCGAGACCUCAUUCCAGAAUUUCGAGGUAGAUGAUCGGACAGAUUUCAUUUUGCACGCGCACUUGGGGUUGAAAAACAUCAUGGCUGUCGCCCGACAUCUCAGUCCAAAGGACGAGGUAAAAGACUUGAACUGAUGGCUCAUGAAGCUGCUCAAAUUUUCCAGGGCAUCGCAAGAUCGACAUUUGGGCAUGAUGGACGCCCGGAGACUACCCGCAAGUGGAAUGGCGGCUUCAGGCAUAUCUCAGCAUUCUGUGCGCCGGGUCGAGCAGAUGAGAGGACUUGGUACGCUUCAUUCAGAGAGAACAUAAGCAUCCGAAUGGCUCACGCGGACCGUCUCUGACAUGGGUGCAUGAGAUCGCGCUGGUGCUUCUAAAAUUUUCGGACGCAGGGAGCCAAGAAUUGAUAAUUCGAGGACCUUUUCAAUCGGUUAGAAAAGGAACUGCGUGAUGAGUUGCGUCAUUUGAUGAGAGCCUGUGGUGCUCGGCGUGCUGCUGCGCGGAAAGGCCGUACUCGUGGUCCUUCGAGGAGAGCAUGGGUGAAGCACGGGAACCGAUUCAGCUCGAUGUCCACUGAUAAAUGCAGAACGAUACUCACAUCAGAGUUACGUGUGCAUGCCGGAACUACUAGAGAAGAAGAAGAAAGUGAAAGAGAUACGUAUACACGAGAUGGUGUCUAGUAGGCCGACGGAACGUCAACUGGCGAUUCAAUCGAAAGCGAGACACCUGCUCUGGUUCGAUUCCACCAGCGACCUCGCGGGCGAGCAUCCUCUGCACCCAGACUUGAGUGCCCCUGUCAACGUAGGAAAGUAUCUCGUGCUUCGGGAGCGUGCAGUAGCUUUCUUUCAAGCCGACAUUCGAAUAAAUCGUUUGGAACUGGAUGUGGACAUUAAGCUGUGUCGCUAAAUAGUUCCGAUGAAAAAAUCAGCGGCUAGGAGAAGGGAAUUGGAUUCCCACUCAGAGCAAAGCAAACGUGAGUGACGUUUCCGCAACACAGCAUGAGUUGAGCGCCAUGUGCCUACACGGGGAGCCGUUUUACUGGGCAAUCGGUUAGCGACAACAGGGU